AACCUUUUUCUUACACACUUUUAUUAUAUGCGAAUCUCAAUACAACUGUUAUAAAUUUUAUCGUUAUCGGAUAACACAUACAAAUGGCUGCUGUUCCAAGUGUUUCAUCAGACGACAGCCAUAAAUUAAUCAAAAUGUUGGCACAUUCUCACUCUCUAUUAACGUACGUCAAAAGCAAAAAUUUAGAGAUAAUCAAAAACUUUAGCCCCAAUAAGAAAAAAGAUCCAAGCGUACCGAAGAAGAAAAAAACUAC